AAGGCUAAAUACUCUCUAAUGACCGAUAGUGAACAAGUACCGUGAGGGAAAGGUGAAAAGAACCCCGGGAGGGGAGUGAAAUAGAGAAUCUGAAACCAUAUGCUUACAAAAAGUUCGAGCCCGUUAAAGGGUGAGAGCGUGCCUUUUGCAGAAUGAGCCGGCGAGUUAUGGUAUUGUGCAAGGUUAAGUAGAAAAUACGGAGCCGAAGCGAAAGCGAGUCUUAAAAGGGCGAAAAAGUACAAUGCUGUAGACCCGAAACUGAGUGAUCUAGCCAUGAGCAGGUUGAAGUGUAGGUAACACUACAUGGAGGACCGAACCAGGGUACUAUGUAACGUGCUUGGAUGACUUGUGGUUAGCGGUGAAAUUCCAAUCGAACUCAGAGAUAGCUGGUUCUCCCCGAAAUAGGUUUAGGCCUAGCCUUGAAGAAUUUCCUCUGGAGGUAGAGCACUGAAUGUGGAAUGGCCGCGUCUAGCGGUACUGACUGCAAUCAACCUCCGAAUGCCAGAGUAGUUAGCUUCAGGAGUCAGUUUAUGGGUGAUAACGUCCAUAUGCGAGAGAAAAACAAUUCAGACCACCAGUUAAGGUCCCAAAAUAUAUGUUAAGUGGGAAAGGAUGUGGAGUUGCACGAACAGCUAGGAGGUUGGCUCAGAAGCAGCCAUCCUUUAAAGAGUGCGUAAUAGCUCACUAGUCGAGUGGCUCUGCGCCGAAAAUGUACCGGGGCUAAACAUAUUACCGAAACUGUGGAUUUAUGCAAUAGCAUAAGUGGUAGGGGAGCGUUCUAAGGGCGACGAAGAUAGAUCGAGAGGACUAUUGGAGCGCUUAGAAGUGAGAAUGCCGGUGUGAGUAACGUAAGGUAGGUGAGAAUCCUACCCACUGAUUGACCAAGGAUUCCAGGGUCAAGUUCGUCUACCCUGGGUAAGUCAGGACCUAAGGCGAGGCUGAGAAGCGUAGUCGAUGGACAACAGGUUUAUAUUCCUGUACUAUUUAUAGGACUGAAGGAGUGACAAAGGAAGCUAGUAAGAGCCAUUUAAUGGAUUAUGGUCUAAGCACAAAGACUGAUACAUAGGAAAAUCCGUGAUAUCGAACGGUUGAAGUGUGAUGGCGAAGCAGUCUACGGACAGCGAAGUCUUAUGAGGCUAAACUUUUUAAAAAAGCUUCUAAAGAAAUGCUAUAAAUACCUGUACUAAGAACCAACGCAGGUGGUCAAGGAGAGAAUCCUAAGGUGAGCGAGAGAACUAUGGUUAAGGAACUCGGCACAAUGAUCCCGUAACUUCGGAAUAAGGGAAGGUCUUGAAAAAGACCCGCAGUGAAUAGGCCCAAGCGACUGUUUACCAAAAACACAGGUUUCUGCAAAAGCGUAAGCUGAAGUAUAGGAGCUGACGCCUGCCCAGUGCUGGAAGGUUAAGAUGAUUUGUAAGAUGGACGAAAGUCGAUAACAUCGAAGCAAUGAAUUGAAGCCCCAGUGAACGGCGGCGAUAACUAUAAUCGUCCAAAGGUAGCGAAAUUCCUUGUCAGGUAAGUUCUGACCCGCACGAAAGGCGUAACGAUUUGGGC
rnacentral:rRNA from 1 species